CACAGCGGCGGUUGUUCUAAAUCGUUGCUCCUCUGACUUCUGCGCCUCGACUUUCCAAACUGGAAUUUUCAAACCUGCAGCUCUUCGCGCCAGACAUAUUACUUAGUUUUACAGAAGUGUUCAUCAGGAUCGAUCUCUACAAUUCAGGAUGUUCCAUCUGAUUGAAUUCUUGGACAGCAAAACAGUAGCAGUCGUGCCACAAAGCUGGUACAGUGG